rnacentral:rRNA from 1 species
CGGCGGACGGGCGAGUAAUGCCUAGGAAUCUGCCUGGUAGUGGGGGACAACGUUUCGAAAGGAACGCUAAUACCGCAUACGUCCUACGGGAGAAAGCAGGGACCUUCGGGCCUUGCGCUAUCAGAUGAGCCUAGGUCGGAUUAGCUAGUUGGUGAGGUAAUGGCUCACCAAGGCGACGAUCCGUAACUGGUCUGAGAGGAUGAUCAGUCACACUGGAACUGAGACACGGUCCAGACUCCUACGGGAGGCAGCAGUC